UACAACCUGUUAAUUUCUCUUAUAUUUGUUGUGAUAUUCUCGAUCUAAAAGGUGAUAACUAUAAAGUAUGGAAGGAAAAUAUUAUCCUUCGUUUAGGGUGGAUGGACAUGGAUUAUGCAAAUUAGAAAAAAUGAACCUACAAUUACUAAUACCAACACUUCAAAGGAUAUUGUACUUUAUAAACUAUGAGAGUGAUCUAAUCGUUUCAAUAUGAAGUUCAUAAAAACUAGAAUAUCCACCGGUAUACGUGGUUCGGUUGAUGCUUGAGAAAGUUUGUGAUUUGCUAAAAGAAAUUGAUGAUCAAUUCGUCACUUUAGAUAAGUCACUAGCAAGCACCAUAAUUAUGAAGUUCUCAUCCAUGAGACUCACCAGUGUGAGAGGUGUGCGCGAGCACAUCAUGUAGAUGAGGGACAUUAUGGCUCAAUUAAAUAAUCUUGAGGUUGAGAUGUUAGAAUCCUUUUUUGUGCAUUAUAUCUUGAAUACUCUCCCACAACAAUACAGACCUUUCAA
rnacentral:lncRNA from 1 species